ensembl:misc_RNA Y_RNA Y RNA
GGCUAGUCUGAAGGUAAUGAGUUAUGUCAAUUGAUUGUUCAUAGUCAAACUCUUUUUCUACUCUUUCUCCUCUUCUCACUACUGCACUUGACUAGUCUUAA